UCUGGUUGAUCCUGGCGGAGGUUACUGCUAUCGGUGUUCGUCUAAGCCAUGCGAGUCAUAUGUUCCUUGUGAACAUGGCGUACUGCUCAGUAACACGUGGAUAACCUGCCCUUGGGUCCGGCAUAACCCCGGGAAACUGGGGAUAAUACCGGAUAACGCAUAUAUGCUGGAAUUCUUUAUGCGUGAAAUGGAUUCGUCUGCCCAAGGAUGGGUCUGCGGCCUAUCAGGUAGUAGUGGGUGUAAUGUACCUACUAGCCGACGACGGGUACGGGUUGUGAGAGCAAGAGCCCGGAGAUGGAUUCUGAGACAUGAAUCCAGGCCCUACGGGGCGCAGCAGGCGCGAAAACUUUACAAUGCGGGAAACCGUGAUAAGGGGACACCGAGUGCCAGCAUCAUAUGCUGGCUGUCCGGGUGUGUAAAAUACACCUGUUAGCAAGGGCCGGGCAAGACCGGUGCCAGCCGCCGCGGUAACACCGGCGGCCCGAGUGGUGAUCGUGAUUAUUGGGUCUAAAGGGUCCGUAGCCGGUUUGGUCAGUCCUCCGGGAAAUCUGACGGCUUAACCGUUAGGCUUUCGGGGGAUACUGCCAGACUUGGAACCGGGAGAGGUAAGAGGUACUACAGGGGUAGGAGUGAAAUCUUGUAAUCCCUGUGGGACCACCUGUGGCGAAGGCGUCUUACCAGAACGGGUUCGACGGUGAGGGACGAAAGCUGGGGGCACGAACCGGAUUAGAUACCCGGGUAGUCCCAGCCGUAAACGAUGCUCGCUAGGUGUCAGGCAUGGCGCGACCGUGUCUGGUGCCGCAGGGAAGCCGUGAAGCGAGCCACCUGGGAAGUACGGCCGCAAGGCUGAAACUUAAAGGAAUUGGCGGGGGAGCACAACAACGGGUGGAGCCUGCGGUUUAAUUGGACUCAACGCCGGACAACUCACCGGGGGCGACAGCAAUAUGUAGGUCAGGCUGAAGACCUUGCCUGAAUCGCUGAGAGGAGGUGCAUGGCCGUCGCCAGUUCGUACUGUGAAGCAUCCUGUUAAGUCAGGCAACGAGCGAGACCCA
rnacentral:rRNA from 1 species